rnacentral:rRNA from 1 species
UACGUAGGGUGCGAGCGUUAAUCGGAAUUACUGGGCGUAAAGUGUGCGCAGGCGGCUUCGCAAGUCGAGUGUGAAAUCCCCGGGCUUAACUUGGGAAUUGCGCUCGAAACUACGGAGCUGGAGUGUGGCAGAGGAAGGUGGAAUUCCACGUGUAGCGGUGAAAUGCGUAGAGAUGUGGAGGAACACCGAUGGCGAAGGCAGCCCCCUGGGUCAAGAUUGACGCUCAUGCACGAAAGCGUGGGGAGCAAACAGG